GUUGCAACUCCACAACUUUCAAUCAAUAUUGAGUUUCGCAGCUAGGUUGCUGCUAAAUUCUUCUUCUUCUUCUUCACAUUACAAUCUUCAGUAAGGUUGCUCCUAAAUUCUUCUUCAUCUCGCCACUGUCUCUGCACAAAUCUUCAGUCAUUUUACCAGUCUGAUAAGAUUGAAUAUAGAAGAGUGCUCUCAGUUACACAAGGCUUUUGGUUUUGAACAUGAACCUGAUGGUAGUGGUUUAGAAGAGAUGGAUAAGGAUGGAAAACAAGUACUAUUACAGAACUUGGAAAUUAUAAGACUCAUAAAUUUGCCAAACUUCCAAGAGAUUCACCAUGGAUUUAUGUUAAAAGAUCAUGUUAAUCAAACCAUACAUGAAUGUCCGAAGUAUUCCUCCAGUUUAUAUCUACAUCCAGGUAAAAUUCACAUGGCAUUUUUCUAAACACAAUUACAAUGUCCUUGCAUUAUUAUGUUGUCAAAUGAAAUAUUAUUUUAUUAAGUUUUUGGUUAAACUUUGCUCCAUGAUGAAAUCAUGUAAAUAAACGUAUUUUUUUGGUUAUACUGUGGUAUAAAAAUGGUCAGGUGACGUAUUUUUUCUCUUCUAGAAAUAGGUUAUGUGGAUAAUAUUUAACUUAAUAAUAAAAAGAGGUAGUGCAGCUUACAUCUGUGGUAUAAAAUUAUGCAUGUUUCAUCAUAUUUGAAAUAAUACAAGACAUUUUUUCAAACCAAGAAAACCACUUUAAUGAUGACAACUUUGAAGGAGACUCUGUUCAAAACAUUAUCAGAACAUUAUCCUAACAAAAGAAGAAUAGAAAGAGGUGUAACAGUCUAAACAUGCUCAUCAAUGACUUUUCUGUCGUCUUGCUGUGCUUUUCAAAUCUCCAACACUGCAAAUGUAAUGAAAUUCUUGAUUUUCAGGUGAUACUUGAGAUCAUGUGUUGAUUCAUUCUGCCUUAGUUUUCUAGCUAUCUAAACAUGUGUGACUCCUGUGAACUUGUUUACUUUGUAGAUGUAAUUCUCCAUCAUGUACUUUCAUAUUUUCUUUUCUUCUAUGACUCAUGAUUUUAUAAAUUUUAAUGCAAAAACAUUAAGAUGCUCUCAAACUCUUAGUUCAGGGGAGCCCACAAACUCUAAAAUUCUGUUUUUUACCAUUUGUUAGUCCUUGCAUUAACACUUUUUAAUUUUUCUAAUGGACCAAAAAAAAUGACUAGCCUUAACUCAG